rnacentral:sRNA from 1 species
AUUUCCUCCCCGGCCAACACCCCAGCCUGGCCCAUUCACUCGACUUGGGCAGAGACAGGCCGCCUCGGAGGUGACGGCUCAGGCCCAGGCCCAGGCCCGAGGGAGGGGGCUACUCACACGCCGCUCCGCCAGCCGACGACCUUGUUUUUGUAGCAGGCGAUUUCGAAGCGCUUCCCGGCGCGCUUCAUCCGUACCACGGCCACAUUGGUUAGGCGGAUCUGGUUGGUGGGGGUGAAGAUCGACAUCGCGGCUGUUCAAAGACCUAGAAGCCGGCGAACCAGGGCUGACCCGCGCCGCCCAGCCUGAAGGCCACCAGCGCCUCGCGAUCCUUCUGCGGAUACAUGGGACCUCUCCUCACCUUUAAUAUCAUUAUGGAUAAACAGGUUUUACAUUUAUUUGGGCUUUGCUGUUAGCAUUAGCCUUUGGAUUUGUGUCCAGAUUGUCAUCAAGACGCAGGGCAAGAACUUACAGGAAAAAUCUGUUCCAAAAGCAGCU